rnacentral:rRNA from 1 species
GUGAACGCUGGCGGUAGGCCUAACACAUGCAAGUCGAACGGCAGCACAGUAAGAGCUUGCUCUUACGGGUGGCGAGUGGCGGACGGGUGAGGAAUACAUCGGAAUCUACUUUUUCGUGGGGGAUAACGUAGGGAAACUUACGCUAAUACCGCAUACGACCUACGGGUGAAAGCAGGGGAUCUUCGGACCUUGCGCGAUUGUAUGAGCCGAUGUCGGAUUAGCUAGUUGGCGGGGUAAAGGCCCACCAAGGCGACGAUCCGUAGCUGGUCUGAGAGGAUGAUCAGCCACACUGGAACUGAGACACGGUCCAGACUCCUACGGGAGGCAGCAGUGGGGAAUAUUGGACAAUGGGCGCAAGCCUGAUCCAGCCAUACCGCGUGGGUGAAGAAGGCCUUCGGGUUGUAAAGCCCUUUUGUUGGGAAAGAAAAGCAGCAGGUUAAUACCCCGCUGUUCUGACGGUACCCAAAGAAUAAGCACCGGCUAACUUCGUG